CGGCGGACGGGUGAGUAACACGUAGGUAACCUACCUAUAAGACUGGGAUAACUUCGGGAAACCGGAGCUAAUACCGGAUAAUAUUUCGAACCGCAUGGUUCGAUAGUGAAAGAUGGCUUUGCUGUCACUUAUAGAUGGACCUGCGCCGUAUUAGCUAGUUGGUAAGGUAACGGCUUACCAAGGCAACGAUACGUAGCCGACCUGAGAGGGUGAUCGGCCACACUGGAACUGAGACACGGUCCAG
rnacentral:rRNA from 1 species